rnacentral:piRNA from 6 species
AAUCCAGCGAUCCGAGUUCAAAUC